UACGUAGGGUGCGAGCGUUAAUCGGAAUUACUGGGCGUAAAGCGUGCGCAGGCGGUUCGUUGUGUCGGCGGUGAAAGCCCCGGGCUUAACCUGGGAAUGGCCGUUGAAACUGGCGAACUGGAGUGUGGCAGAGGGGGGUGGAAUUCCGCGUGUAGCAGUGAAAUGCGUAGAUAUUCGCAAGAACACCAGUGGCGAAGGCGGCUCACUGGCCCGGAACUGACGCUGAGACGCGAAAGCGUGGGGAGCAAACAGG
rnacentral:rRNA from 1 species